rnacentral:rRNA from 1 species
AUUGAACGCUGGCGGCAGGCUUAACACAUGCAAGUCGAGCGGGGUGAUGGUGCUUGCACUAUCACUUAGCGGCGGACGGGUGAGUAAUGCUUAGGAAUCUGCCUAUUAGUGGGGGACAACAUCUCGAAAGGGAUGCUAAUACCGCAUACGUCCUACGGGAGAAAGCAGGGGAUCACUUGUGACCUUGCGCUAAUAGAUGAGCCUAAGUCGGAUUAGCUAGUUGGUGGGGUAAAGGCCUACCAAGGCGACGAUCUGUAGCGGGUCUGAGAGGAUGAUCCGCCCCACGGGGACUGAGACACGGCCCAGACUCCUACGGGAGGCAGCAGUGGGGAAUAUUAGACAAUGGGGGGACCCCUGAUCCAGCCAUGCCGCGUGUGUGAAGAAGGCCUUAUGGUUGUAAAGCACUUUAAGCGAGGAGGAGGCUCUUUUGGUUAAUACCCAAGAUGAGUGGACGUUACUCGCAGAAUAAGCACCGGCUAACUCUGUGCCAGCCGCCGCAGUAA